rnacentral:rRNA from 1 species
GAGCCUACGGGAGGCAGCAGUAGGGAAUCUUCCACAAUGGGCGAAAGCCUGAUGGAGCAACGCCGCGUGGGUGAAGAAGGUCUUCGGAUCGUAAAACCCUGUUGUUAGAGAAGAAAAUGACGGUACCUGAGUAAGAAGCCCCGGCUAACUACGUGCCAGCAGCCGCGGUAAUACGUAGGUGGCAAGCGUUAUCCGGAUUUAUUGGGCGUAAAGGGAACGCAGGCGGUCUUUUAAGUCUGAUGUGAAAGCCUUCGGCUUAACCGGAGUAGUGCAUUGGUAACUGGGAGACUUGAGUGCAGAAGAGU